AUGCUUUUCUGCAAGCAGAUUUCAUUGCACUUAUUGUGUUCAUAUCAUUUUCUUGGGGAUUAUUUGUCGGACAACCAACCUGGAGUUUUGCCUCUGUGGAGUACCACCCGGUCAGGCCAGGAGCUUAGUCUAAAGGAAACUCUGCCAUCGGGGACAUCAGCUGCUGUGGCCAGAGAAGAGAACAUGCUCUCAGGCUCCUGGAAGAUUGCAAACCCAGCAAACAAGCUUGUUAAGGUUUUAAACAUGAAUCAGAGACAUCAGCAAAGGCCAAAUGGGACAUCCUGCAAUCUUUACUGUGGACCACAAGAAGCUAUUUUUUCACCAUAGGUACCUUUCUUGCUUACUUCCUGAUUUCUGGCUUUGCUUUAUGUGGACGAGGUUUUGGGAUAUUAAUUUAAGAUAAACUAGGAAUCACCAUAAUU
ensembl:lncRNA